rnacentral:rRNA from 1 species
AGUGAACGCUGGUGGCGUGCUUAACACAUGCAAGUCGAGCGAAGCGCUUAAGUUCGAUUCUUUGGAUGAAGACUUUUGUGACUGAGCGGCGGACGGGUGAGUAACGCGUGGGUAACCUGCCUCAUACAGGGGGAUAACAGUUAGAAAUGGCUGCUAAUACCGCAGAAGACCACAGUACUGCAUGGUACAGUGGUAAAAACUCCGGUGGUAUGAGAUGGACCCGCGUCUGAUUAGGUAGUUGGUGAGGUAAUGGCACACCAAGCCGACGAUUAGUAGCCGCCCUGGGAGGGUGACCGGCCAGAUUGGGACUGACACACGGCCCAGACUCCUACGAGAGGCAGCAGUGGGGAAUAUUUCACAAUGGGCGAGAGCCUGAUGCAGCGACGCCGCGUGAAGGAUGAAGUAUUUCGGUAUGUAAACUUCUAUCAGCAGGGGAGAAAAUGACGGUACCUGACUAAGAAGCCCCGGCUAACUACGUGCCAGCAGCCGCGGUAA